rnacentral:rRNA from 1 species
UGGGGAAUAUUGGACAAUGGGGGGAACCCUGAUCCAGCCAUGCCGCGUGUGUGAAGAAGGCCUUAUGGUUGUAAAGCACUUUAAGCGAGGAGGAGGGUACUGGUAUUAAUACUACCAGGUACUGGACGUUACUCGCAGAAUAAGCACCGGCUAACUCUGUGCCAGCAGCCGCGGUAAUACAGAGGGUGCAAGCGUUAAUCGGAAUUACUGGACGUAAAGCGCGCGUAGGUGGUUCGUUAAGUUGAAUGUGAAAGCCCCGGGCUCAACCUGGGAACUGCAUCCAAAACUGGCGAGCUAGAGUAGGGCAGAGGGUGGUGGAAUUUCCUGUGUAGCGGUGAAAUGCGUAGAUAUAGGAAGGAACACCAGUGGCGAAGGCGACCACCUGGGCUCAUACUGACACUGAGGUGCGAAAGCGUGGGGAGCAAACAGG